ensembl:lncRNA
UUUAUAUAUUUGUAAUUAGAGAAUACUUCAUUAGUUUCUGUAAUCAAACCCAUGUAGGUAAAAUGUUAUAUGUUUAAUACAGCAUAUAACUCCCUAUACAAUAGAAAAAAAUUAUCUAGUGUUUCCAGACCAGUAUUGUUGUUAAUCUUGUUCAGUGCCGUUCUAAGUACUAGCACAGCUAGUUUCCAAAACUUCAGAUUUUAUAUAUAACAGUAAUUACGGUAUCAAAUUUUAAGAAUAAAAAUAUUGCAAUUUCUGGAGUUGUAGCUUAGCACAGUCCCUGGGGUCACUCCCCAGUACUUCAAAACAAAAUGAAGAAAGAAAGAUAAAGAACAGUGGGCUAGAAUAUGUAUGAGCCCAUGGCUGCAUCCCCAGCGUGGGGCGGCGAACCUUGUAGAGACUUCAGUGACACAAGCAGCCUGCUGUGGCACACGCGCCUGAGGUUCACCACCGCUGGCCUAGCAGCUCAGAAGCAAAAGAGAAGAGUGACUGCACUAGGAGGCACCAGGGGAGUGUGGAGUUGGCUUUCUCUUUUGUGGUUUGGUCCUGGGACGGAAGCUGGAGCCUCGCAUGUGCCCUCGAAGGCUCUGCCUGCCACGCUGCAGGACACACCCACACUUGCACGGCCCUUCUCCACGCAAGCCCUCAAUGGGUGGCACCUGGGUGUGCGGCAAGCGAUCUCUUUGCUGCCUCACAUGUCAUUCAGGUUGCACCAAGCUGCCUUUUGUAACCUCCAUGGAAACUGGCCUUUGAUUCAAAAUAGCAGUCAUUUAUUUCUCUGGGGGUAAAUAAGAGAGGCUGCUUAUAAAUAUAAAUUUAAGGCUGGGGAUUUAGUUCAGUGGUUCUGCCGCCUGCUUCACAAGCACAAGGACCCGAGUUUACGAUCCCCAGUACCCAAAAAAUAAAUAAACAAAUAUAAAUUUAUUUUAAUCUCUGGACUUCAGAAUUAAAUAUUUUCUUCCAUGAGAGAAAUGCUAACUAGAUUAAGCGUAGAAACAAGGAGAACUGUCAUGUUAGCAGAUGUUGGUGGUAUACAAGUCAGGGUUUCCUGGUUUGUCUGUAUUUACUCAAAGGAAGUAAUUACCAGUGUUCAGGAUGCAGCUUUUAUGUUUUGAGUGAACGUAGUUUGAGAUUCAAACAUUGUAAGAAUGCUCGUUGGUGACUAAAUUUGUCAAGUGCGGUUUACUAUUCACACAAGCUUUAGUUCAUUCCGAUGAGCAUGAUGGGAAGGCACGGAGCAUGUUAAAUUGACCUUGGCCUGCCGUGCAUCCUGGGCCCCUCCACCCUGCAGCCUGUUACCCCAGCAACGUCACCAGUAUCGCCCGGCGCUGCUGGGUGAGGAGCCUGCUGUUAACAGCUCCACUCCACAUGUUGUGGCUAGUUUGGUAGAAGGAAGUUUAAUUUUUAGUUAAUAAUUAAUCUCCAAUGUUUAUUACCUUAGUUCUGAUGUGAUUAUUUUAUUUUGAGACAGGGCCUGGCUUUGUAGUUCAGGCUGCCCUGGAACUCGCCACCAUGCCCAGCUAAUUCUGUUGUAAUCUUGAUGUGCUGUGAUCUAAUUUAGGCUUCCUGGCCAUACCCAGGCUUUGUCUGUAAGUUCACACAUCAGUUAAUAUCACAUAAUACCAAAUACAAAAAUGUAGUGAGUCAUUUGAUUUCUUUUAGCUGGAAAACUGCAUUUAUGUUUUCCUAGUACCUAAGUUUUUCAGUGGCAUUUUCAUAGCAGUACAAGAAUGUCUCCUCAUAUAAAAACAAUGUAAACCGUAUUAAGGUCUUUUUUACACUGUGUAUCAUGUAUCUGUUCCAUAAAAGCAGAGCUACUCUAAAUGCCAAAUACCUUCUGAUUGCUUGGGUUUUGCCUUGUCAGACACUGCCAGUGCAGUAUUUUGGGGUUUUUUGAGGCAGGGUCCCUGUGUGACCUACACUGGCCUUGAAAUUUGCCAUCCUCCUGCUUCAGCCUCCUGAGUGCUGGAGUUACAACCAUGCACCACCACACCAGCUCUGUGCCACUUUAGACCAUGAAACUUGACAGGUAACGUAUCUGGAGUCCAUGAAAAGUGAGAUUUAUCUUGAGAUUUCUAAAUCUCUUGGACUCGUGAUAUUUCAGCAGGCCGUCUUGGUGAGGUAGGAAGUACUCAGGGGAAUCAGACUGGGCUCCGGCGUGGCCCUGGCACUGUAGCCAGGUGGUGUUGGGAAUCAGUACCUGCCUGGGUUUCAUUACCUUUAAAGCAAGAGGGUGAAUUAGAUGAUUUCUCAUGUCUCUUCUACUCCUAAAUUCUGUGAUUUUAGGGAGAAAAUCCCUCAGCACUCCUGGGAUGUAGAUCUAAUAGUCCCAUAUAUUGUGGCACUUCCCUCCUGGCGCUAAGGAGGGAUGGGGAAGGCUCCAAGUUCCCUUUGUAAAGAAUCCUUUUCUGCUCCAGCAUCGUCUGCGUCACUCAUGCCGCUCACUCCCUUCUGGACCCUGCUGCAGUCCAGUGUGCCUGUGCUGCAGCCACCCCUGCCGCUGGAGAUGCCCCCGCCGCCGCCGCCUCCAGAGUCCCGCCCCGCCCCCGCCCCCACCCCCCCCCGGCCGAGGACGGCGAGAUCCAGGAGGUGGAGAUGGAGGACGAGGGCAGCGAGGAGCCUCCCGCGCCCGGGACAGAGGAGGACCCACCUCUGAAGCCGGCAGCACAGGCCGCCGUUGUCACCAGCCAGAGCACUGUGGAUGCCGCCAUGUCCAGCCCUCCUUCCACUAAGGCGGUGAAGAGAAAGGCGGCGGAAAUGAGCAGCGCAGUGGUUCAGCGGUCGGCCACCAUCGGGAGCUCCCGGUCAUCUACAGCCAGCCGCCCGUGGCCACAGGUCUCCAGGCCACAGGGAUUGGACACCAGCCCGUGUCCCUGAGCCACAUGGCCACAGGCAUGGGUCACCAGGCCCGAGGGUUGAGCCUGCAGUCCAGCUACCUGGGCCUCACGCCGGCCAUCGUGAGUUACACCGAGUGCUCUGUCCCCAUGGGAGUGACCACGGCCUCCCUGCAGCCAGUCCAGGCGCGCCCGGCAGCCGCUGCCAUAGAGCCACCACCUCCACCACCGCCGCCUCCUUCUACGCUGCCACCACCACCAGCUCCCAAGCGCCACCCCGGAGAAGACAAAGAAAGGAAAGAAAGAUAAGGCGAAGAAGAGUAAAACCAAAAUGCCAUCUUUGGUAAAGAAGUGGCAGAGUAUCCAGCGAGUUAGAUGAGGAGGAAAACUCAAGUUCCAGCGAGGAGGACCGGGAAUCCACAGCCCAGAAGCGCAUUGAGGAGUGGAAGCAGCAGCAGCUGGUCAGUGGCAUGGCAGAGAGAAAUGCUAAUUUUGAAGCCCUUCCUGAGGACUGGCGAGCAAGACUAAAGAGAAGGAAAAUGGCUCCAAACACAUAGUUUAAAUUUUUUUAAAAAAUUUUGUUUUGUUUUGUGUUGGUUCAGAGUCCUAACCAGUCUUACUGUUGUCCAGUAAACUAAAUGUUAUGGGGAACGUGCGCGCUUGCUGGUGAAGCACAUUCGCCGCGUAGUGUCAUCCUCUCCUGCAGUGUCACUGUCUUGGUUUUGCCAAAGGAGGUGAUGGGACAGCUUCGACCUGGCUGGCCUUACUCCGAUGCUGGCCACCCCGGCACGGCAAGUAUGAGCCUGCCGCCUCUGCGAGGCUUAGCGACAAGUGGAGGCUUUGCCUGCCUGCUAGAGCUGAGCUCCGUCCUAAUGUGGCUCUGACUUCUACUCCGACAAGUGCAAUUAGAAGCAGCUCUGCCUGCCUUGCUUGGCUUCAGACCCCUCCGCUUACCGCCUGGGAGCGCUGAGCUGUCAGGCUGAUGUGCCCAGGAGUCCUGUCUCACAGGCUGGGAGCCCAGUCAUUUGCAUGCCAGGUGGCAGGGUUCCAUUGUGAUACAGGCAGCAGUGGCCACGGUGGUUCAGAUCCUCGGUUUUGAGAGAUUUCCCAAAUACACAGCAGGAAGUGUACCAAGGGCCACUCUGUGUCUAGUGUGUCCGUUGUACCCUGUCCCAGAGUCACCUCCCUGCUCUGUGAAUGUGGACUCCAUAAAAUUCCAGUAUUUAAAAGGCAGUUUGCUGUUGUACUUUCUGUUGUAUCACAAUCAGGUAAAGUCACUUUAAACUGAAGAAAAAACAAAUUGUGUUUUAAAGCUGUUUUUAUUUCUCCAAUUUCUGACCUUGUAAAUUUUGUAUAUAUGCACUAAUAAAACUCUUUUUAUACUUG